UAGCGUUGCUCGGAAUCACUGGGCGUAAAGCGUGCGCAGGCGGCUUUGCAAGACAGAUGUGAAAUCCCCGGGCUCAACCUGGGAACUGCAUUUGUGACUGCAAGGCUAGAGUACGGUAGAGGGGGAUGGAAUUCCGCGUGUAGCAGUGAAAUGCGUAGAUAUGCGGAGGAACACCGAUGGCGAAGGCAAUCCCCUGGACCUGUACUGACGCUCAUGCACGAAAGCGUGGGGAGCAAACAGG
rnacentral:rRNA from 1 species